UAACAAUCGCCGUAGGCUGUGGUGAUUGUGUCCUAUUCGGAACCGAGCUCCUAGAAGAGAUCGAGCGAACGGGGAUCCUCCAAGUGUAGAUUUAGAUCUGUCGCCAUUAAAAAGUUUUUAUCUCCUCUUUUCAGGUUUUUCGUCUGAGGUUUGUAUCAAGGCCAUUUCGUUCGCCACCCUUUUCUAGACUGAACUCCACUGAUUUUCAGUCCCCGGCGCAUCUUGCGUUUUAUCCUUUCC
rnacentral:lncRNA from 1 species